rnacentral:rRNA from 1 species
GAUGAACGCUGGCUACAGGCUUAACACAUGCAAGUCGAGGGGAAACGCCGGGGAAGCUUGCUUCCCCGGGCGUCGACCGGCGCACGGGUGAGUAACGCGUAUCCAACCUGCCUCUGACUGAGGGAUAACCCGUCGAAAGUCGGCCUAAUACCUCAUGGCAUCGUCUGCGGGCAUCCAACGACGAUUAAAGAUUUCAUCGGUCAGGGAUGGGGAUGCGUCUGAUUAGCUUGUUGGCGGGGUAACGGCCCACCAAGGCUACGAUCAGUAGGGGUUCUGAGAGGAAGGUCCCCCACAUUGGAACUGAGACACGGUCCAAACUCCUACGGGAGGCAGCAGUGAGGAAUAUUGGUCAAUGGGCGGGAGCCUGAACCAGCCAAGUAGCGUGCAGGAUGACGGCCCUAUGGGUUGUAAACUGCUUUUAUGCGGGGAUAAAGUGAGGGACGUGUCCUUCAUUGCAGGUACCGCAUGAAUAAGAACCGGCUAAUUCCGUG